AUUGAACGCUGGCGGCGUGCCUAACACAUGCAAGUCGAGCGGUAACGCGGGAGCAAUCCUGGCGACGAGCGGCGAACGGGUGAGUAACGCUUCGGAAUCUACCCAGUAGUGGGGAAUAACCAACCGAAAGGUUGGCUAAUGCCGCAUACGACCUGAGGGUGAAAGGGGGGGAUCGCAAGACCUCUCGCUAUUGGAUGAGCCGAAGUCGGAUUAGCUAGUUGGUAGGGUAACGGCCUACCAAGGCGACAAUCCGUAGCUGGUCUGAGAGGACGACCAGCCACACUGGGACUGAGACACGGCCCAGACUCCUACGGGAGGCAGCAGUGGGGAAUAUUGGACAAUGGGGGCAACCCUGAUCCAGCGACGCCGCGUGUGUGAAGAAGGCCUGCGGGUUGUAAAGCACUUUUAGUGGGGAUGAAAGGCUCAGGGCUAAUACCCUUGAGUCUUGACCUAACCCAAAGAAAAAGCACCGGCUAACUCUGUGCCAGCAGCCGCAGUAAGAC
rnacentral:rRNA from 1 species